ACAACAAGAGACGGUUGGAGGGAAGGCUACCUCAGGAAAAAAAAAUGCAGUUAUUGUCAGGAGAAGAAAGUGUGACUGAAUCAACUCCUAUCUCAAAGGAAAACAAAUACUACCAAAAUGGACCCGAGAGAUCUGACAUGUGUGAGAAUGUGUGUGCCACUCACACAGCUGUGCCACAUUCCGAUUUUAAUUGCGACUCAGAGUGAAGUCCCUGAACCGGAGGCUGAGGUGUUUGCGGCUCAUCCGUGCCAAGUGGCGUCUUGAUUCAGGGGCAAAGGGAAAAAUCUGGAGAAGGUGGCCGAGGUCGUCCGAUCAUCAUCUGCCGAGGGAAUGCACUCGCUGCUGUGGCCGUGCAGAUCGAAGUCCCCAUGUUAUUUUUCUAGGCUUUUGGAAGUUGAGCGAAGAGAUAGGGGUGGAAUGCCCCUUUGCGUAUUUGCUAACAUUCGGUGAGUCCUUACUAUGUGCCAGGCCCUGUACCAAGUGAAUGGUUUUCAGGGUGUCAAUCAUUAGAACUCUUGUUAUGACCUGCAAGGCUCCUGGUUGUAAGUCAAGGUGUUCCCUUUGGCUCUGUGAAGUCUCCAAGCGGUGGCCUGAUUUCCUUGGAGUCCCUACCAAGGCCAGAACAGCUGGCGUUCCUCUCCUAGCACGGCUCCGGUCCCAAGGACAAGCAACUGGAAGCAGGAUGUUUUGUGAGGAAGGUUCUGUGCUUGAGGCGCUCCGGCGACCGGUGAACCGACGGACCUACCAUUCUUCCAUCUCAGGCCUUCUUCAGUUUAUCCGUGUUUAAAUUUAUAUUUUAAAUAUACUCCGCUUUAACUGUUCCUGCCUUAUUUUUUUUUUACAAAUAUUACACUCCUUAUUUUUUUUUUUUUACAAAUAUUACACUCUGAGGUUCAAUUUGGAGGAAG